CAGAUGCGCGCUGGCAUCUGCGAAUGCCUUGGACCUGGUUUUGGUGGCAAGCAGCUCCUGCGUCAUGCCAAUUAGCUUAUAGACAAACAUAAGCGCACGCGUUCUGUACAGUUCCAACAAUUCCCUGGUCUAUUCAAAUACACGAUUAGCUUUCCUAUAAGCUUGAAGCCGAACGGACCAAACUUUCGCUGACAGCAAGUUCCAUUCAAAAUGGGAAUUCAUUAAAUGUAAUUUGAUGUGGAUUUGAUGAAAUCACUGAAACGCGUGAAUUGCAGCAAACACGGACUGUGCUCUGCACUGCUCAGCAGUCAGUUAGUCAAUCAGUCAGUCAGUCAAUCAGUAAGCUUUUCGGUCAACAAUUUAUUUUCCUCCAGCCGCGAGGCCAUGCGACUUGUCCUGAACGCCUGCUGGCGUAGCCUUUGACGGAGACAGUGCAACUCCAGCUUGGUCUUGACCAGGGCCUUCUGCCGUUCGGAGAGCUCGCCCUUUAGGCAAAGCAAUUGCCGGAGCAUUCGCUGGUUCUCAUUGCUCAGCCUGGACUGCCUUGUGCGCCGCUUGCUGGAGAUCUCCUCGGCAGUUGUGAUGCACUUGAUGAAACUAUCAUUCACAAUCUUUCGCUCCUGCAAUAUCAUUUCAUAGCAAUAGAUUUGCUUGGCAGCUAAAAAGAUCUGACACUGGAUUAACUCAAAAGCCGUUCGCAUCUCAAUCUCGGUGCGAUUUACACACCAAAUUCUUGAAUCUCCACGCGGUUGUCGUUAUCAGAAGACAGUCCCCGUUGAGGGAACGCCAGGCGUCGAGCCAGCUAUGCAUCAUGCAUUCCACGGCACUCGACAUCGACUGCCCAUUGUUCUCCAUGCCGUUGCUCCUCUAGAUCUGUGCAACGUGCAUCUGCCUGAUGGAAACGAAUGUGUGCUCGGAAUUUGGAAUUUUGAGAGCGCUCCAAAGUGUCUACGAAUAUUUCAUUGAUUUAAAAUAUCUGUCUACGCCAGCCAACCAAAUCUUAAAAAAUGUUCCAGAUCGAACUCUGUCCCUGCCUCGUCUGGAGUCGAUCGAAAACUAAUGAUAUGCACACUCUUUCUAGAAGGAUACUCAAUCGUUGACGUGCAAAUGGAAAAACCUGAGCUCAAUCUAAGCAAAAUGACAAUCGUAUAUCGUAGAUAACAUAUUUAUUUAUUGUACAAAACUGUUUUUGCCUAGGUGCAAGAAUACGGGGAACAGACGAUCAUGAAAUAAUUUUGAAACCGAGCAAAUUGCAGGCAUAUAUAGAAAUAGAUAUAGUUAGAUAUAGCUGCGCAUAAUCCAUAUAAAACUUGCACGAUUUAACAAAUUUAA